rnacentral:rRNA from 1 species
GACGAACGCUGGCGGCGUGCUUAACACAUGCAAGUCGAACGAAGAGCGAUGGAAGCUUGCUUCUAUCAAUCUUAGUGGCGAACGGGUGAGUAACGCGUAAUCAACCUGCCCUUCAGAGGGGGACAACAGUUGGAAACGACUGCUAAUACCGCAUACGAUCUAAUCUCGGCAUCGAGGAAAGAUGAAAGGUGGCCUCUAUUUAUAAGCUAUCACUGAAGGAGGGGAUUGCGUCUGAUUAGCUAGUUGGAGGGGUAACGGCCCACCAAGGCGAUGAUCAGUAGCCGGUCUGAGAGGAUGAACGGCCACAUUGGGACUGAGACACGGCCCAGACUCCUACGGGAGGCAGCAGUGGGGAAUCUUCCGCAAUGGACGAAAGUCUGACGGAGCAACGCCGCGUGAGUGAUGACGGCCUUCGGGUUGUAAAGCUCUGUUAAUCGGGACGAAAGGCCUUCUUGCGAACAGUUAGAAGGAUUGACGUACCGGAAUAGAAAGCCACGCA